rnacentral:rRNA from 1 species
CGGACCUAGCGGCGGACGGGUGAGUAAUGCGUAGGAAGCUACCCGAUAGAGGGGGAUACCAGUUGGAAACGACUGUUAAUACCGCAUAAUGUCUACGGACCAAAGUGUGGGACCUUCGGGCCACAUGCUAUCGGAUGCGCCUACGUGGGAUUAGCUAGUUGGUGAGGUAAUGGCUCACCAAGGCGACGAUCUCUAGCUGGUUUGAGAGGAUGAUCAGCCACACUGGAACUGAGACACGGUCCAGACUCC